rnacentral:rRNA from 1 species
CAAGGAAUUUUCCCCAAUGGGCGCAAGCCUGAGGGAGCAACGCCGCGUGCAGGACGACGGCUUUCGGGUUGUAAACUGCUUUUGCGUGGGACGAUAACGACGGUACCACGCGAAUAAGCCCCGGCUAACUCCGUGCCAGCAGCCGCGGUAAUACGGAGGGGGCAAGCGUUGUUCGGAUUUACUGGGCGUAAAGGGCGCGUAGGCGGGGUAUCAAGUUAGGGGUGAAAGCCCGGGGCUCAACCUCGGAACUGCCUUUAAAACUGAUACUCUAGAGUCCGGAAGAGGGUCGCGGAAUUCCCAGUGUAGAGGUGAAAUUCGUAGAUAUUGGGAAGAACACCGGUGGCGAAGGCGGCGACCUGGUCCGGUACUGACGCUGAGGCGCGAAAGCGUGGGGAGCAAACAGGAUUAGAUACCCCCGUAGUCC